CGCUCUGCUCGCACCAUUGUG
rnacentral:miRNA from 1 species